UACGAAGGGUGCAAGCGUUAAUCGGAAUUACUGGGCGUAAAGGGUGCGUAGGCGGUUCGUUAAGUCUGUCGUGAAAUCCCCGGGCUCAACCUGGGAAUGGCGAUGGAUACUGGCGAGCUAGAGUGUGUCAGAGGAUGGUGGAAUUCCCGGUGUAGCGGUGAAAUGCGUAGAGAUCGGGAGGAACAUCAGUGGCGAAGGCGACUGCCUGGGGGAAAACUGACGCUGAGGCGCGAAAGCUGGGGGAGCGAACAGG
rnacentral:rRNA from 1 species